rnacentral:rRNA from 1 species
GACGAACGCUGGCGGCGUGCUUAACACAUGCAAGUCGAACGGUAAGGCCCUUCGGGGGACACGAGUGGCGAACGGGUGAGUAACACGUGGGUGACCCGCCCUGCACUUCGGGAUAAGCCUGGGAAACUGGGGCUAAUACCGGACAGGACGCCUGGCUUCAUGGUUGGGGGGGGAAAGCUUUUGCGGUGUGGGAUGGGCCCGCGGCCUAUCAGAUUGUUGGUGGGGUAGUGGCCUACCAAGGGGACGACGGGUAGCCGGCCUGGGAGGGUGACCGGUCACACUGGGACUGAGAUACGGCCCAGACUCCUACGGGAGGCAGCAGUGGGGAAUAUUGCACAAUGGGCGCAAGCCUGAUGCAGCGACGCCGCGUGAGGGAUGACGGCCUUCGGGUUGUAAACCUCUUUCAGCUAUGACGAAGCGCAAGUGACGGUAGUAGCAGAAGAAGGACCGGCCAACUACGUGCCAGCCGCCGCAGUAA